rnacentral:rRNA from 1 species
GUGAAAUUGUUGAAAGGGAAGCGCUUGCAACCAGACCUGCCUGCAGUUGCUCAUCCGGGCUUUUGCCCGGUGCACUCUUCUGCUGUCAGGCCAGCAUCGGUUCGGGCGGUCGGAUAAAGGCUUCGGGAAUGUAGCUCCUCUCGAGGAGUGUUAUAGCCCGUUGCGAAAUGCGGCCAGCCUGAACUGAGGUCCGCGCUUCGGCUAGGAUGCUGGCGUAAUGGUUGUAAGCGGCCCGUCUUGAAACACGGACCAAGGAGUCUAACAUCUGUGCGAGUGUUUGGGUGUCAAACCCGUACGCGUAAUGAAAGUGAACGGAGGCGGGAACCCCUCGGGGUGCACCGUCGACCGAUCCUGAUGUCUUCGGAUGGAUUUGAGUAAGAGCAUAGCUGUUGGGACCCGAAAGAUGGUGAACUAUGCCUGAAUAGGGUGAAGCCAGAGGAAACUCUGGUGGAGGCUCGCAGCGGUUCUGACGUGCAAAUCGAUCGUCAAAUUUGGGCAUAGGGGCGAAAGACUAAUCGAACUAUCUAGUAGCUGGUUCCUGCCGAAGUUUCCCUCAGGAUAGCAGUAACGUUUUCAGUUUUAUGAGGUAAAGCGAAUGAUUAGAGGCCUGGGGGUUGAAACAACCUUCACCUAUUCUCAAACUUUAAAUAUGUAAGAAGUCCUUGUUACUUAGUUGAACGUGGACAUUUGAAUGUAUCGUUACUAGUGGGCCAUUUUUGGUAAGCAGAACUGGCGAUGCGGGAUGAACCGAACGCGGAGUUAAGGUGCCGGAAUGCACGCUCAUCAGACACCACAAAAGGUGUUGGUUCAUCUAG